GACGAACGCUGGCGGCAUGCUUAACACAUGCAAGUCGAACGCUGAAGCUCAGCUUUUGUUGGGUGGCUGAGUGGCGCACGGGUGAGUAACACGUGAGUAACCUGCCUCCUUCUUUGGGAUAACGCCCGGAAACGGGUGCUACUACUGGAUAUUCACUGGUCUUCGCAUGGGGGCUGGUGGCAAGGGUUUUUCUGGUGGGGGAGGGGCUCGCGGCCUAUCAGCUUGUUGGUGGGGUGAUGGCCUACCAAGGCGUUGACGGGUAGCCGGGCUGAGAGGGUGACCUGGCACUGUGAGACGGACAUACGGCCCAGGCGCGGACGCGGGGGAGCAUUGGGGAAUAUGGGACAAUGGGCGAAAGAGUGAUGCAGCGUCGCUGCAGAAGGGAUGGGGGCCGUCGGGUUGUGAACGUUGUGCGCUAAGGGUCAAGCCGCAACAAUGGUUGUGGUGAGGGUAGUGGGUAAAGAAGCGCCGGCUAACUACGUG
rnacentral:rRNA from 1 species